rnacentral:rRNA from 1 species
AUGAGUCCAGGAAAAAUUAUCUGCUUGCUCAAUUUUUUCCCUAAUCCUCUCUUUCUUUUUCUUCUUUCUAAUUGUUUUUUUGUUAAAAGAGUAUUAGAGGGAGAGAGAAGAGAGCGAGCCCAGCCGACCUCUAAGGCCCAUCUUGCGGCCCAUCUUACCUACCUAACCCUAAACCUCUCCCUGGCCCGACCCCCAUCUCCUCACGAUCUCCCUCUCCCUCGAUUCCUUCCCAGCGCCGCCAGACCAAGCGCUGCCCGAUCCAAUCUGCUCGAUCCCAUAUCGCUCCUCUGCCCGAUCCCCUGGCAUCUCCCUUGCCUCCCUCCAGCGCCGUCUCUCACGCACGCUCCGCGCCAGGCAGCGCCCUGCUCGAUCCCCUCCACCCGAGCGCCACCUUCGCCCGACCCAACUCCCUCUCAUCGCACCCUCGCCGCCGCGCGUCCCUGCCCCGCCUCCUUCUCCCUCCAGCGCCGGCACGCCCGCAGCGGCCAUGGAUCCCACAGAACCGGGCCGCGACCACCAGACCUUCCCCUGCGCGACCCGUCCGGUCACCGCCCGCUCCGGUGA